UAUUAUUUUAGAAUGUAAAUGUUGCGUGCUUGAGUAGUAUUAGUUAUGUUCUUGAAACUUAAAGAAUUUGGCGGUAUCUCAUUCCGUUCAGAGGAAUCUGUCCCGUUAUCGAUAGUCCGCGUUGGACCUUACUUAGUUGCUUUGGUUUGUAUACCGCCGUUUAUUGAUUAUCUUUUUAGGGUUUUUUAAUUUUCUGGUUUCUUUAUUUUGAUUUAUUUCAGGUCAAGGUGCAGCUCGUUUCUAAGUGGAAUUAGAUGGAUUACAUUAUUAUUGGUUUUUGGAUUGUUAUUUUGAAUAUUGGCAUGAAAUUGGAUUUGGUUGUAAUAAUUUGUAGACUGUUAUUAUGAUAAUUGGUUCUGGGAUAUGUACACAUCGCCCGUCACUCUCGUUUUUUGUUAAUGAG
rnacentral:rRNA from 1 species